rnacentral:rRNA from 1 species
UUACGCUAAUACCGCAUGCGCCUUCGGGGAAGCGGGGACCUUCGGGCCUGGCGCGAUUGGAUGAGCCCAUGUCGGAUUAGCUAGUUGGCGGGGUAAUGGCCACCAAGGCGACGAUCCGUAGCCGGGUCUGAGAGGAUGAUCAGCCACACUGGAACUGAGACACGGUCCAGACUCCUACGGGAGGCAGCAGUAGGGAAUAUUGGACAAUGGGCGCAAGCCUGAUCCAGCCAUGCCGCGUGAGUGAAGAAGGCCCUCGGGUUGUAAAGCUCUUUUGUCCGGAAAGAAAAGCGCCGGGUUAAUACCCUGGUGUCCUGACGGUACCGGGAGAAUAAGCACCGGCUAACUUCGUG